GAUUAAGUUAUUAAGGGCGCACGGUGGAUGCCUUGGCACUAGAAGCCGAUGAAGGACGUUACUAACGACGAUAUGCUUUGGGGAGCUGUAAGUAAGCUUUGAUCCAGAGAUUUCCGAAUGGGGAAACCCAGCAUGAGUUAUGUCAUGUUAUCGAUAUGUGAAUACAUAGCAUAUCAGAAGGCACACCCGGAGAACUGAAACAUCUUAGUAACCGGAGGAAGAGAAAGAAAAUUCGAUUCCCUUAGUAGCGGCGAGCGAAACGGGAAGAGCCCAAACCAACAAGCUUGCUUGUUGGGGUUGUAGGACACUCUAUACGGAGUUACAAAGGACGACAUUAG
rnacentral:rRNA from 1 species